rnacentral:rRNA from 1 species
UGUUCAUCAUCUGCGUGUAACGCCCGGCAUUGUAAGCCACACGGGUGUUCACGUUGUAAAUCAGCGCCAGACGACGGGGACUGCCCAGUUGCACUUCUUCCGCGUUCCCUGCACUGUCCACCACCACCUGCUUUCCCCACCAUCCCAGCUUUUGCAGGCGGGGCGUCAGCGUACGGAUAAAUUCUUUCUGUGAAAUACCUUCAUCAAUGGCCCGCUGCACUUCGGCCUGUAACGUGGUCACCACAUCCAGGCGUGCCGCUUUUGCUGCCGUGAAUGAGCGGGCAUGAACAUCCGCGGCUGUUUCGAACCAGUUCCAGCUGAUAUGCGCCCCUUUGGCACGGAAGUAUGCCACCGCCUCUUUUGAGGGAAGCGUGGCGGCAUAACCCAAAUCAAUCCCCUGUGCCAUCCAGCAUCCCCUUCAUUUCC